rnacentral:rRNA from 1 species
UACGGGGGGGGCAAGCGUUGUUCGGAAUUACUGGGCGUAAAGGGUUCGUAGGUGGCCGACUAAGUCAAACGUGAAAUCCCUCAGCUUAACUGGGGAACUGCGUCUGAUACUGGUCGGCUUGAGUGCAGGAGAGGAACGCGGAAUUCCAGGUGUAGCGGUGAAAUGCGUAGAUAUCUGGAGGAACACCGGUGGCGAAGGCGGCGUUCUGGACUGCAACUGACACUGAUGAACGAAAGCCAGGGGAGCAAACGGG